AUGACUCAGGAGUAUUGGAGGGGAGGUGUUAGCUAUGUGGAAGUUUGAGAGAGGCUCAGCCAUUGUGUUCUUUAAGGCAUAUUAAAAUAGAAGGCCGUGUGUGUGUGUGUGUGUGUGUGUGUGUGUGUGUGUGUGUGUGUGCGCGUGUGUGCGUGUCUUUCAUUCGAGAAUUCAGAGCAUUUUGGUGGGUGGUGAGGAAUGCACAUUGCUGCCGGCAGGGAAAUUUGAGUAGAGCUAAUUAAUUAGUGCUUCAUAUACUAACCUUUAUUCUCAUUUAGUCCCAACAAUCCUGUGAGGAAGGCAGUAUUGUUAUUAUUAUUUCCAUUUUAGAGGUGAAGAAGCUGAAGCACAGAAGGGCUAAAACCUUGACCAACAUCACAUAGUAUUGGAGAAUAUAUAUAUAUAUGUAUAUAUGUAUAUAUACACACACACACAUAUAUAUGUGUGUAUGUAUUUUUUUACUUAUUCACUUAUAUCCUAUUCAUUGCCCCCCUCUUAGUCAUUGAACCCAGGUACCACAGAAUGCCAUAAAUAUGGGACAGAGCACACAGUCCUGGAGUACUCAAAGAGUACCUUCCAGCCCAUCACAGGGUGCUAAGAGCUGCCUAGCACAGACUGGAAUGUGUCAUGGGUUUGUGUAACUGGAGGACAGAUUGAGAUAAAAUGAGGCUUGUGAAAGCAGAGCCAGCAAUAAGAGGAGAUAAGACCAGAAAGUGACUUGCAUGGGUACCAUAUGUGGUGGCCACCAAGGUGAUGUGUUGAAUCUCGGCACAAGAGGGACCAGCAGUAAGGGACAUACAGGCUGAAGGUUUCCGACUGUGAGUACCUUCCGGAUCUACCUCAGCUUCGGGGACUGUGAGCUGACUUCGUUUGACCCUCAAGGAGCCUGUCUGCCAUUGAGAGCUUGAAGGAAAGUGGUUUACAGUUUCCAGAAAGGAAAAGAAAGAUCCUUGUUGUGGAAUGGCAGAAAUGGACUACCCAUGCAGAACACAGAGCUGAUGCUGGAGACAGAGCUUCUUGCAACUGAUGGAGGCUGCAACCGAGGGACCAUUCAAUGUAAAAUAACCAAAGACGUUGGGCUCAUUCCCAGCCUCUCCAAAAUUACCAGACUAAGAAAGGCAUUUAGAGCAAAACAACCCACGGUAAGACUUUGAAAGUCUUAGAGGGGCCCCAAGGUGGUUCUUUAGAACAUGCAGUGGGAUAAAGGUCUCCUUAGAGAUGCUUUGUCUCUAGGGGACAAAGGUUUCCCCAGAGAUGCUGUUCUCUAACCAACAGCUGCCCUGCAAGCUUUAGACAAGGGCUGGCCUUAGAGAUCUGGAGUUACAGCUUUUGCUGAUGGUCUGGGAUCCGAGCUGAGAAGAAAAUGAAGAACUGUGAUGUAAGGAAUUCUAAGAGUGCUUGGACGCAGAACUGCCCAUUUGUAGGGUGUGUGUUUUCUCUUCUGCCUGCCAGUAUUGUAACAGCAGGUCACAGGGGCUCGUUUUCCUGCCAAGACUGGUUACUUUUUAAUCUCCUAUUUGAGCAGUUUGUUUUUCUCCUAUGAAUAACCUUGAAUCCUUUCCACUUACAUUAAAUCCUGUGAAUCUAUGACUAAUUCUCUAAUGCUAAUUUGUACUCUUUUGAAUAUUGGUUUCUUCACCUGGUUGCAUGCUAUAAGCAGAAUUCUUGAUUUAUUUAUUAUUUUUGUUUUUCUUUCUUAUGUUGAAUAACUAACUUUGGGUAUGAAACUUAGUAACUAGGCUGAAAUUCUAAUUCUAGAAAGCUCCACAACAUUAGAUAGAUGCAACAACCUCUCUCAGAAUGUAUAUAAGGGCAGCUACUCAGCCAUGGAUUUACAUAAAUGUUAAUUUACUAAUCCAUGUAAAUUACCUGACAAAGGAUGAUUUGUAUAAAAAAAUCUGUAAACAUUAACCAUCCUUCUUAAACAUAAUAAACCCAUUGUUGAUAUA